UAACUGAAUAUAGGGAUAAGUGAUUCUUUCUUGAGAGAAAGAAUUGAAAAGGGAAGUCAGGAAAAGCUGACGCGGUACCCGCCACUGUAAAAGGGAGUCUUUUCACAAAUGUCACUGGAAAGUAUUUUCCGGGAAGACGUGAAUAGAUAAUGAUCUUAAGCCAGGAGACCUGCUUAUGCCAAAGAUCAAAC
rnacentral:ncRNA from 2 species